CGCGACCUACGGGGCGCAGCAGUGGGGAAUAUUGCGCAAUGGGGGAAACCCUGACGCAGCAACGCCGCGUGCGGGAUGAAGGCUUUCGGGUUGUAAACCGCUUUCAGCAGGGAAGAUAAUGACGGUACCUGCAGAAGAAGCCCCGGCUAACUACGUGCCAGCAGCCGCGGUAAUACGUAGGGGGCAAGCGUUAUCCGGAUUUAUUGGGUUUAAAGGGUGCGCAGGCGGUCUGUUAAGACAGCGGUCAAAGCCCGGGGCUCAACCCCGGCCCGCCGUUGAAACUGGCAGUCUCGAGUUGGAGAGAA
rnacentral:rRNA from 1 species